UAAGGGAUAUUGGUCAAUGGGGCGGGAGCCUGAACCAGCCAUGCCGCGUGAGGGAAUGAGGCCCUACGGGUCGUAAACCUCUUUUGCCGGGGGAUAACGGGCGCCACGUGUGGCGCCGUGAAGGUACCCGGAGAAUAAGCAUCGGCUAACUCCGUGCCAGCAGCCGCGGUAAUACGGAGGAUGCGAGCGUUAUCCGGAUUUAUUGGGUUUAAAGGGUGCGCAGGCGGGCGUCUAAGUCAGCGGUGAAAGUUCCCGGCUCAACCGGGUCAGUGCCGAUGAUACUGGUAGUCUUGAGUGUAAACGAGGUAGGCGGAAUGUGAUGUGUAGCGGUGAAAUGCUUAGAUAUGUCACAGAACCCCGAUUGCGAAGGCAGCUUACCAGGAUACGACUGACGCUGAGGCACGAAAGCGUGGGUAUCAAACAGGAUUAGAUACCCUGGUAGU
rnacentral:rRNA from 1 species